AGUUCCGCACGAGCGCACCCACAUCUUUAGUUGCCAGCAGUUCGGCUGGGCACUCUAAGGAACUGCCCGUGAUAAGCGGGAGGAAGGUGUGGAUGACGUCAAGUCCUCAUGGCCCUUACGGGUUGGGCUACACACGUGCUACAAUGGCAGUGACAAUGGGUUAAUCCCCAAAAGCUGUCUCAGUUCGGAUUGGGGUCUGCAACUCGACCCCAUGAAGUCGGAAUCGCUAGUAAUCGCGUAACAGCAUGACGCGGUGAAUACGUUCCCGGGCCUU
rnacentral:rRNA from 1 species